GCCAACACUCUGUCCACUGAGCCAAACCAGCUAGGGCUCUUGCAGUUAUUUUUCAAACAAAGAAACUUAGGGAAGAACUUUGGGCCAGAUUUCCCCCCCCCAUUUUGUAUACUACUUUGAUGGUUUAAUUAAAAUGAAUCACUUACGAGAUAAGUGUUUUCUUUAAAAUUGAGUCAGCAGCAAGUGUCCUUGAACUAGUGGGUAAAAGAAGCACAAAACAAACCCGUAGGUUUGCAGAGUUACCCUUGAAGGGAAGAGAGCCACUUGCAGGAGAGAGCAGAACAUGUAAUGUGCAGCUCUUGUGCAAGCGACUGGGGCUGUGGAGGUCCGAGGCCACUGGGGAUGGUCAGGGUUGGCUCAUGCACACUUGUAGCCUCUCACUCCCAGAUCAGUCACUGGGGAUGGACCUCCUGGGACAGGCAGGAAGGGCCUCUUGAGCCCCACUCAGUCAGGCUCAACCUGUGGUUGGCCAGCAGAAGUGCCUCUUUUUCCUUCACUUAUUUUUACCAGAAACUGAGCUUCAGAACCUGCCCUGUGGAAAAACAGGUUUUCAGCAGCAUUCUCACCUUGAAUGUGUAUGUCCACCCUCUCAUCUGUCAGGAAUAUCUCUGCCCGUUGACAGUGUCUGCAAGCCACAGAGGCGAUGGUAUGAAAAAGACCAGGCCAGGCCAUAGCUGCUCUGGGAGCCCCCUAGAGAGUUGUGGAAUGGUGGGUAUGCUUUGGGCUGAUCUGUCUGUGUGAUAGUCACUGUAAUGAUGGCUUAUUCCAAAGGAGUAUCACUUUUGAAACUCCCAUGACCCCUUCAGGAACAUCUGUACCACUAAUUCUCCAACUGUGGUCCCCAGACCAGCAGCACCUGGGAAUUUUAUUAGACAUGCAAGUUCUCGGGCCUUAUCCGAAACCCCGGAAUCCAAAACCCUGACGGUGGCGCUCUGCCAUCUGUGUUUAUAAGCUCUCCGGGUGCUCCUGAGGGACAUACAAGGUUGAGAACCACUGACCUAUAGUCCCCAAAGUAGGGCAGACAAGACACUUCUAAAUGGGCAGAAUUGGGAUUAGUGUACUGGAGAUGACUCUAGCAAGCAAACAGAAAUGGCAGAUGGGUGGUGCAGUACAGCUUAGUGGUUCUGGGUAUGUCUUGAGAAUUCCACCUGCGUCUGCCUCCUUGCUUUCCCCUUACUGUUCUCUACACGGAUCUCCUUGUCUGUACAGUAAGACAGUCUGAAUUCUGUUCUAGUUACUAUUGUUGCUUAUCAAACCGCCCCCAAGAGUUUUAGGACUCUCACCGCUCUGUGGGUCAGGACUUUGGACAGGGCCCCAUGGGCAUGGCUUGCUUCUGCUCCCCAUUGACCUGUGUCUGAGGCUGUCAUCACAAGUCUGGGGCCUUGACUGGGAGGACUCAGGCUGGCUCAGCUGGAACUGUGUCCUAAACCACUUACACAGGGCCCAGGGGACAUCGACCAGAGGUCACAGACACUACAGCAGAAGCUGCUAGGUUUCUUCUGACCCGAAGUGGAUGGCCUGGGGACACCCAGGGCUGUUGUUAGCAUUAAAUGAGAAAACACUUA